rnacentral:rRNA from 1 species
AGUGAACGCUGGCGGUAGGCCUAACACAUGCAAGUCGAACGGCAGCACAGUAAGAGCUUGCUCUUACGGGUGGCGAGUGGCGGACGGGUGAGGAAUACAUCGGGAUCUACUUUUUCGUGGGGGAUAACGUAGGGAAACUUACGCUAAUACCGCAUACGACCUACGGGUGAAAGCAGGGGAUCUUCGGACCUUGCGCGAUUGAAUGAGCCGAUGUCGGAUUAGCUAGUUGGCGGGGUAAAGGCCCACCAAGGCGGCGAUCCGUAGCUGGUCUGAGAGGAUGAUCAGCCACACUGGAACUUAGACACGGUCCAGACUCCUACGGGAGGCAGCAGUGGGGAAUAUUGGACAAUGGGCGCAAGCCUGAUCCAGCCAUACCGCGUGGGUGAAGAAGGCCUUCGGGUUGUAAAGCCCUUUUGUUGGGAAAGAAAAGCAGCAGGUUAAUACCCCGCUGUUCUGACGGUACCCAAAGAAUAAGCACCGGCUAACUUCGUG